rnacentral:lncRNA from 1 species
GGAUAUUUUGGUAGCACUAAUAAUUGGUCACUUGGUACUGGAAGACGUAAUAUUAAUUGAGAUAAGAGGAAGAGAAAGAAAGAAGGAAAAAUGGAUAAGAGAAAGAGAAAGAAAGAAAAAACCAGUAAAGAGAGAAAGUAAAGAGGAAAAGAGGAAAAGAGAUGAGAAGUGUAAGAGAAAGAAAAAGAGAUAACUCAAGGAUUAAGAAAACUCAUGGAUUCAUCAUCUUCA